CUGGGUUAGACAACGGUGGACAGCCCUAGAAACAGGGUUUUCCCUUCGGGGACCGCCGGUACAGGUGCUGCAUGGCUGUCGUCAGCUCGUGCCGUGAGGUGUUGGGUUAAGUCCCGCAACGAGCGCAACCCUCGCCCUUAGUUGCUCCCGGGUAGUGCCGAGCACUCUAGGGGGACUGCCGGCGUUAAGCCGGAGGAAGGUGGGGACGACGUCAAGUCAUCAUGGCCCUUAUGUCCAGGGCUACACACGUGCUACAAUGGGCGGUACAAAGGGUUGCAAACCCGCGAGGGGGAGCCAAUCCCAAAAAGCCGCUCUCAGUUCGGAUUGGAGUCUGCAACUCGACUCCAUGAAGCUGGAAUCGCUAGUAAUCGCGGAUCAGCAUGCCGCGGUGAAUACGUUCCC
rnacentral:rRNA from 1 species